UACGUAGGGGGCUAGCGUUGUCCGGAUUUAUUGGGCGUAAAGAGCGUGUAGGCGGCCAGGUAGGUCUGCUGUUAAAACUCGAGGCUCAACCUCGAGACGUCGGCGGAAACCAUCUGGCUAGAGUCCGGAAGAGGAGAAUGGAAUUCCCGGUGUAGCGGUGAAAUGCGCAGAUAUCGGGAAGAACACCCGUGGCGAAGGCGGUUCUCUGGGACGGUACUGACGCUGAGACGCGAAAGCGUGGGGAGCGAACAGG
rnacentral:rRNA from 1 species